CACAGAGAGAGAGAGAGAGAGAGAGAGAGAGAGAGAGAGAUGAGGUUUGUGAAUUACGUAGCACAAUGGAAAAGCGCGGCAAAGGAAGCGUUGGAUCGCACUGCAAUCGCUGCCAAGUUCCUUUGUUGGCUUCACAUAACGAGCAACUAUCUCUGUUCCUCAACUAACGUCGAAGGGCCUAGCAUGCUCCCCACCCUCAAUGUCGCCGGCGACGUCGUUCUCGUCGACCACAUCUCUCCACGCCUCGGUAUCAUUGCUCAUGGCGAUUUGGUUCUCGUUCGCUCCCCUGUCAACCCUAAUCGGAGCAUCACCAAGCGCGUUGUGGCCGUCGAAGGGGACACCGUUACUUACUUUGACCCUUCGCAUGUUGAUGCUACACAAAUUGCUGUGGUGUGUGUGCUUAAUGGUGCCAAAGGGGCAUGUUUGGAUUCAAGGGGAUAAUGUUUAUGCCUCCCUUGAUUCACGGCAUUUUGGUCCUGUUCCAUAUGCUCUUAUAGAAGGAAAAGUCUUUUUACGGGUAUGGCCAUUUGAUAGCUUUGGAUUGCUAGGUCAAUGAAGAUAUUAUAAAGAUUAUAUGUUGGAAUGUUUAAGGAGGGAUGCAAGCAACACAUUCUUUCUUUCUAACAUACCAUCUCCUAUUGGUUGAGAUUUAUUAGGAAUCAUGAAAUCAUUAGUGAGACUUGUAAAAUAGGAUUGGGACCUAGAGGUGAUCAAACUAAUUACCUGACCCGAAUCAGGUUAACCAGUUUUGGUUCCAUUAGACUGGGUCAAAAAUACUAUUUCUUAUUCAGGCUUUAAAAUAGAAGACCAAGCCAAGCCAUGCUCGAACCUGCAUUUUACAAUUAAAUAAUCAAGUUGUCUUGAAGCUCUUGGAUUGGUCGGGUAAAAAGGUCUAUAGUUAAGUUGGGCCUAAACUUAAAGCUCAAGCUCUAUGCUUUUGUAAUUCUUAAUAAAUUUUAAUCAACAAUAAAGAACAUGUUAAAGAGUGUGCUAUUAGUUUCUCUCAUGUUUAAAUUCUAUAUCUCUUCUCAUGAUGUAAAGGCAGAGCAUCUAUUGCAAAUAAAUAGACUGAAUUGGUAAGGUUAUGAAGGUAACAAUACAUAAUCUUUUGUCAGUUUUUCCUCUCUAUCUCUUGGGAAGAGAAGGUUGACUUUGCUAGCUCUGCUAUAUCCUGUAGCGAACUUCCUGAGUAACUGGAAUGUGAAAAUGUCUUCUAAUCAGGGAGGAAUAAAAUUUAUGAGUUGCUUUGGAGUUGGAAGGAUUAGUAGGACAGAAUAAUUGGCCGUCCUCAAAGAAAUUGGAGGCAGAAGAAAAUUAUUAGUAUUAACUUUUGUUAAACUUUUAUGUUGUCAGAAGCAAGAGAGUAAAGAAAUAGUUAUUGGCAGACAUCAAAAAGAGGAAUAAAGUUUGUAAGCUGCCAGUAGGGUGUGAGCCUGGAGGUACUGAGGAUGAGUGGGUUUGAACCCUGACAGUGCCCUGCUUAACCCCCUGCCGAAGAGAUAGAGAUAAGUAAAAAAGAAAAGAUAUCAAUUCUGUUGGUGUACAAUUGUUUAGAUAUUAAUAAUAAUAAUAAGUCUGUAAUAUAGCUUUAACCGUAACAAACUUGCAAUCCAAAAGAAAAAAAAAUUGUAAAGGAAUCUACGCCACCAAGUUGAAGCUUUCUUACCUGCAUGUAAAGAAUUUGAAUAUCCUACAAUGAUGACAUGGUAUUGGCACUAAUUUCUUGUACAUGUUUUGAUUAUUGGCUGAUUUGACCAUUUAAGUGGAACCACCACUGCUUAUAUGCAAUGAUUCCUUUACAUGAAUGGUAAUCGCAAUAAGUUCCUCCGCUCUUACCUAUUUUUUGCUAGUUGUCCUCUUUCGUUUGCCAAUUUAUUGAACAGUGCUUAUGGUCAGGUUAGUCAUCCUGUGAAAUGCAACUAAUUAUACUUGCAUGGAGCUUCAGUGAUUUACAUUAAGGUGGCUGUUUGCAAGGAAAACACCUAAGGAGCAUACUCCCUUUUUGCAACAUUGGGAACAUCGUUUGGGGUCUGUUUGAGUACUGUGUUGUGUGGAUUACUGAUCAAAGAAUAGAAUGCAAACUUGUAUGCAGAAUACUUGGUUAGGAAUCAUUCAUUUACUCAUUUUUUGUUAACAAUAUGCCAGGGUUGGUUAUCUUUGUUUUUCCAUUACCCAAUGUCAAUUUAUAAUAUUUUGAAAAUAA